UGGGGAAUAUUGGACAAUGGGCGAAAGCCUGAUCCAGCCAUGCCGCGUGUGUGAAGAAGGUCUUCGGAUUGUAAAGCACUUUAAGUUGGGAGGAAGGGCAGUAAGUUAAUACCUUGCUGCUUUGACGUUACCGACAGAAUAAGCACCGGCUAACUCUGUGCCAGCAGCCGCGGUAAUACAGAGGGUGCAAGCGUUAAUCGGAAUUACUGGGCGUAAAGCGCGCGUAGGUUGUUUGUUAAGUUGGAUGUGAAAGCCCCGUGCUCAACCUGGGAACUGCAUCCAAAACUGGCAAGCUAGAGUACGGUAGAGGGUGGUGGAAUUUCCUGUGUAGCGGUGAAAUGCGUAGAUAUAGGAAGAAACACCA
rnacentral:rRNA from 1 species